GUAUAUAAUAUGUAAUCAUUACAUAAUUUUGUGAGCAUUAUGGAAGAACAAAGUUACAUUUCUUUGUUAUGUAUGUAUCUCAUAACAGUUAUUUAAAAAUGUUAUCUUCUAAAAUAUAAUUUUGUGAAAAGAUAUUUUGCAGGUAAUAUUUUCACC